rnacentral:rRNA from 1 species
AUGAAGGUGACUGUGACCGAUCGGACUGAGGAUUUGGGAGUCCUGGUUUCAGCUGCGGCGUUUGAUUUUUUUUUUUUUUUGAUCGGAUGGUUUGCUGAUUUUGUCAUCUUGUCUGACGGCCGGGUGCAGAAGGUUGUGCUGAAGCUGGACCUGCACGACGACAGGCAGAAGCAGAAGGCGCUCAAGGCCGUCUCCGCUCUCCACGGCGUCGACCUGAUGAGCGUGGACAUGAAGGACCAGAAGCUGACGGUGGCCGGCAGCAUGGACCCCGUCGACGUCGUCGCCAAGCUGCGCAGGUUCUUCCCCGGGGCGCACAUCGUCUCCGUCGGCCCGGCCAAGGAGGAUAAGAAGGAAGGCGGCGACAAGAAGGACGGCGACAAGAAAGACGGCGGCGGCGGCGACAAGGACAAGAAGGACGCGAGCAAGCAGGUGGUGUACGCGCCCCCCUACUGGUACCCGCCGCCGCCGCAGCACCACCACCCGCACCCGUACCACUUCGUCCGCAGCGCCGAGGAGGACCCCAACUCCUGCGUCAUCUGCUGA